UACGGGGGGGGCAAGCGUUGUUCGGAAUUACUGGGCGUAAAGGGCUCGUAGGCGGCCAAUUAAGUCAGACGUGAAAUCCCUCGGCUUAACCGGGGAACUGCGUCUGAUACUGGUUGGCUUGAGACCGGAAGAGGACAGCGGAACUGCGAGUGUAGAGGUGAAAUUCGUAGAUAUUCGCAAGAACACCAGUGGCGAAGGCGGCUGUCUGGUCCGGUUCUGACGCUGAGGCGCGAAAGCGUGGGGAGCAAACAGG
rnacentral:rRNA from 1 species